UACGAAGGGGGCUAGCGUUGCUCGGAAUUACUGGGCGUAAAGCGCACGUAGGCGGAUCUUUAAGUCAGGGGUGAAAUCCUGGAGCUCAACUCCAGAACUGCCUUUGAUACUGAGGGUCUUGAGUUCGGGAGAGGUGAGUGGAACUGCGAGUGUAGAGGUGAAAUUCGUAGAUAUUCGCAAGAACACCAGUGGCGAAGGCGGACUCA
rnacentral:rRNA from 1 species